rnacentral:rRNA from 1 species
CAUUUUAGGAGGUUAAUACUCCUACUCCUCAUGGGCAAGGGUUGUUCAUCACGCGGACUCGGUUUUCUAUACAUCCCCCCUGGCUGUAACUGAUCCAGCCAAUCAUUCUGCCCCUAACCCCUAAACCCUGUCGGUUUCGGAACUAGACCCUCGUUGGUUCUUGGAGUACGUGGUGCUUUUCGUCAUCUCCCCGUUAAUUGUUUCUUUAGCUGGCCCCGUCCGAUCACCUCCUAACUGGAGGAAGGUGGGGAUGGCGUCAAGUCCUCAUCCCCCUUAUGUCUUGGGCUGCACCCGUGCUACAAUGGCCGGUACAAAGAAAAAGGAUGCCGUGAGGCGGAGGGAAUCUCAAAAACCCGGUCCCAGUUCGGAUUGGGGUCUGCAACUCGACCCCAUGAAGUCGGAGUCGGUAGUAAUCGCAGAUCAGCAUUGCUGCGGUGAAUACGUUCCCGGGCCUUGUACACAUCGCCCGUCCCGUCACGAAAGUCGCUAACACCCGAAGCGAUGACCCAACCCCCCUGUGGGGAGGGAGCUCUCGCAUGAUGUGAGUAGAGAUAGCUGCUCCCUCCCUCCCCCCGGGAAG